UGGAUAAAUAACUCCUUGGCGCCUCCUGCUCUGCUGUGCUGCCAGCGCCUCCCCUAGCGCGCUUUCUGGAGGGGCUUUGUGCGGACUCGGGGCUGGAGGCCUGCUGGGG
rnacentral:pre_miRNA from 1 species